rnacentral:rRNA from 1 species
UACGGAGGAUCCGAGCGUUAUCCGGAUUUAUUGGGUUUAAAGGGUGCGCAGGCAGGAGAUUAAGUCGGCGGUGAAAUUUUGCAGCUCAACUGUAAAAGUGCCUUCGAAACUGGUUUCCUUGAGUGUAGAUGAAGUAGGCGGAAUUUGUGGUGUAGCGGUGAAAUGCUUAGAUAUCACGAGGAACUCCGAUUGCGCAGGCAGCUUACUAAACUACUACUGACGCUCAGGCACGAAGGCGUGGGGAUCAAACAGGAUUAGAUACCCUGGUA